GUCCCGUUAGUGUGCGGCACACACCUGCAUCUAGUUGAGAAAGGGAAAUGAGUUUGUGCAAGAGGACCCGGUUCGACUCCGGGGCGGGACG